GUCGUCUGUGUAGCUGUCAAAAGUGUUUGGUCAAAGAAAAGUGGUGUUAUUUUCAUUUAUUUAUUUGUAUUUACAAAAUGAAUGAUAACGAGGACGAAAUUACAACUUUUUGCGAUUCAGCUGCCUCUUUGGUGGAGGGAUGCAGGUUACCAGUUCGAAUGCAAGGCGGUGAUGAUUGGCCACUCGCAGAGAUUAUUAGCAUCAAGGAAGUCCGAGGCCAAAGAGGAUACUAUGUGCAUUAUGUAGAUUUUAAUAAACGCUUAGACGAGUGGGUCGGGGAGUCAUGGUUGGACACAAGAAAAGUACAGUUUCCCAGGAGGGAUGGCAGCGGGCCCACAGGUGGGACUACCACACCGAAGAAGACCCAUAUUGGAUCUGGAGGUGGCGUCAUGCCUAAUUUUCUUAAUGAUAACGUCUGCAAUGAAAGUCAGAAAUGUGUUCAUAGUAGAGAGAAUGUGGUUCACCAAACAACACCUAAAAUACCUGAGAAAAUUCAUAACAAUGCACUCAAUGGCUCCACACAAAGAUUAACACCUGGUGUACCAGGUGAGCCCCGUCAGUUAAUAUCUCGUCCAGCGAGUCCAACCCUCGGGAAUGACUCCUCGUCGCUCGUCAAUGGCGGCGCAGUGCUGGCGGCAGCCUUGCAGAAGAAAAUGAACAGGAAACGGAAAGCUAACUCAUUGGAGAAUGACAACGAGCCACAAGAGUCGCUGGACGGUGGCGACCCCGUGGUCAGUGGGACGGCCACGCCCACGACUCGACCACGUCAGUCCGGCAGCCUGGUCGCCCACGGCCACGACGACCUCGUCACCAGGAUGAAGAACAUUGAGAUGAUUGAGCUGGGCAGACAUAGGAUACGGCCGUGGUAUUUUGCACCUUAUCCACAGGAAAUGGUAAAUUUAGCCUGCAUAUAUAUUUGCGAGUUCUGUCUGAAAUAUAGAAAAACUAAAAAGUGCUUAGAGAGACAUUUGAUUAAAUGCAAACUAAAACAUCCGCCGGGCAAUGAAAUUUAUCGAAAAGGCAGCAUAUCCUUCUUUGAAAUCGACGGUAGAAAGAACAAAUGCUACGCUCAGAACCUGUGUUUGCUCGCCAAACUGUUUUUGGACCACAAAACAUUGUAUUACGAUACAGACCCUUUUUUAUUUUAUGUGAUGACUGAAUUUGAUUCUAGAGGAUUCCACAUAGUAGGAUAUUUUUCAAAGGAAAAAGAGAGUACGGAGGACUACAACGUAGCGUGUAUAUUGACCCUGCCGCCGUACCAGCGGAAGGGAUACGGGACACUACUCAUAGAAUUUAGUUAUGAACUGUCAAAGUUCGAAGGUAAAACGGGUUCACCAGAGAAGCCAUUGUCGGAUCUGGGUUUGCUUUCGUACAGAAGUUACUGGGCUCAGACAAUAUUGGAGAUACUUAUCAACAUUAAACCCGUGGGGGACAAUGAGAAACCCAUCAUUACUAUCAAUGAAAUAUGCGAGCUGACCAGUAUAAAGAAGGAGGACGUCAUAAGUACAUUACAAAAUUUAAACCUCAUAAAUUACUACAAGGGACAGUAUAUAGUGUCAGUUAAUCAGGAAACUAUACAACAACACGAAAAAGCGAUGGAGAAGAAAUUAUUGAGGAUCGAUCCAAAAUGUUUACAUUGGACGCCCAAAGAUUGGUCCAAACGAGCAAAAUGCGUUUGAAGUGUAUCGGAGAUGCGAGCUAUGUAACUCGGGCUUCGACACUUUUACACGUAGGACAAAUUCACAAGGACGUUACAUCAAAGGACUAUAGAUUGAUCCAUAAUACAACGUGUCCAGUUCAUGUCUUCUCAUAGUAAAUGAUAUAGCUAUUUAAUAGUACAUUAUGAUAUAAGUGAGGGAAGUUGAAAAUUACAGCCAAGGCUAUUGCAAGCUCGAGCCGAGGGCGAGAGCUAUAGUAAGGUAGCAGAGGCUGUAAUUAUCGAAGUGCACGUAUGUCAUACGACGUUAGUGAGGAAACACACUUUCUGAAAAUGAAUUUGCAUCUUUGCCUGUUUUCCUUAGGAUUCAUUCAUUUCCAUUUUGAUACGCUUGUCAUUUUGCACAGAUAACGAAGUGCGCGCUCCAGCGUUUUAUUUUAGGCUAAUGUACCGAAAACAGCCAUUAUUACUCAUAAAGUAAAUAAAUAUUUUUGUUUUUCUGUUCGCAUCACCUUUCAUUCUCACCAGCCCCCCUAGCCAAGUAGUAUGUCGAUUCUCUUUCUACGAUCGCUAACGUUUCGAAAACUAGAUGUAUGGGAAUGAAAUUUGUUAUCGACAGGUCACGUGAUCAAGAUCUGUCAUCCCCAUACAUUUUUCUAGUUUUGCGAAGCGUUAGCGAUCGUAGAAAGAGAAUCGACGUGCCACGUGGCUAGGGGCGCUGAAACCGUACCCCGCAAUCCUGUAUUGUGCAAAAGAGGUCUACAUUUAUGCAAUUUGUCUUGUGUGUGUAUCAUUAAACGUCAUAAUACGUUGCUGGUUCAUUUUAUUUUAGCCUUCUUCACUAUACAAAGAGUGGCCAUUGAUGUCUCGUUUAGACUUACAUAUAGGACGCUGUUGUAAAAAUAAUCAAAAAAUCAAAUGAAAAGUUAGUAACUUUGAAUGUAUAAAAUGUUUAGAUAGAUACAAACGUGUAACUACGUAUGUCCUUGUUUUAAUGUGAUAUUAAAUAAAUAUUUUUUUUUCUAA